ACACGUGAAACCCGGUGGGAAUACGGGGGGACCAUCCUCCAAGCCUAAAUACUACCUAGUGACCGAUAGAGAAGAAGUACUGUGAAGGAAAGGUGAAAAGCACCCCGGGAGGGGAGUGAAAGAGAACCUGAAACCUUGUGUUUACAAGCACCGAAAGUCCAUCAAAGGACGAUCGGGUACCUUUUGUAGAAUGGUCCGGCGAGUGUAUGUAUCUAGCAAGGUUAAGCACUUAAGGUGUGAAGCCAAAGCGAAAGCGAGUCUGAAUAGGGCGACAAGUUAGAUGUAUACGACCCGAAACCGGGUGACCUACCCAUGGCCAGGCUGAAGUGAAGGUAAAACUUCAUGGAGGGCCGAACCGACUCCCGUUGAAAUGGUAGCGGAUGAGUUGUGGGUAGCGGAGAAAUUCCAAUCGAACCCGGAGAUAGCUGGUUCUCUCCGAAAUAGCUUUAGGGCUAGCCUUGAAAUAGAUUACUGGAGGUAAAGCACUGAAUUGGCUAGGGGCCGAAAGGUUACUGAACCUUAUCAAACUCAGAAUGCCAGAUAAUCGUUUUUCAGGAGUCAGACGGUGGGAGAUAAGUUUCAUCGUCAAAAGGGAAACAGCCCAGACCCACAGCUAAGGUCCCAAAUUAUAGUUAAGUGGAGAAGGAUGUGGGAUUGCAUAGACAACCAGGAUGUUGGCUUAGAAGCAGCCACUCAUUAAAAGAGUGCGUAAUAGCUCACUGGUCGAGUGAUCCCGCGCCGAAAAUUUAACGGGGCUAAACUAUAAACCGAAGCUUGGGAUACCGUAAGGUAUGGUAGGAGAGCGUCAUGUAAGGGGUGAAGUCAUAGCGAAAGCGGUGGUGGACUUUACAUGAGUGAGAAUGCCGGAAUGAGUAGCGAGAAUUAAGUGAGAAUCUUAAUGGCCGAAAGUCUAAGGUUUUUGGAGGAAGGUUCGUCCGCUCCAAGUAAGUCGGGAGCUAAGGCGAGGCCGAAAGGCGUAGUCGAUGCACAUACGGUUGAUAUUCCGUAACCACUGACAACUUAAACAAAAUGACACUUUAGAAGGGCUUGACCCGGGUGCUGGUAAUCCCGGGCGUAAGGGACCGAAAUUUAGUAGGGAAGCAAGCUUAGAUAGAGGCGAGAAAAGUUUUGUGUACGUAAUGUUGGUGCCCGUACCGCAAACCGACACAGGUGGACAGGAAGAGAAUUCUAAGGCCAGCGGGAGAAGGGUAGUUAAGGAACUCGGCAAAUUGACUCCGUAACUUCGGGAAAAGGAGUGCUCUCGAGAGAGAGCCGCAGUGAAUAGGCCCAGGCGACUGUUUAGCAAAAACACAGGUCUCUGCCAAAUCGAAAGAUGAAGUAUAGGGGCUGACACCUGCCCGGUGCUGGAAGGUUAAGAGGAGGAGUGAGAGCUCCGAAUUGAAGCCCCAGUAAACGGCGGCCGUAACUAUAACGGUCCUAAGGUAGCGAAAUUCCUUGUCGGGUAAGUUCCGACCCGCACGAAUGGUGUAACGAUCUGGGCACUGUCUCAACUACCCGCCCGGCGAAAUUGUAGUACCGGUGAAGAUGCCGGUUACCUGCGACAAGACGGAAAGACCCCAUGGAGCUUUACUGUAGCUUGAUAUUGGGUUUCGGUAAUUUAUGUACAGGAUAUGUGGGAGACUGGGAAGUUAUGGCGCCAGCCAUAAUGGAGUCGAUGUUGGGAUACCACACUUAGAUUGCUGGAAUUCUAACCUGUGGCCAUGAAACUGGUCAGGGGACAUUGUCAGGUGGGCAGUUUGACUGGGGCGGUCGCCUCCGAAAGAGUAACGGAGGCGCUCAAAGGUUGGCUCAGCACGGACGGAAACCGUGCAUUAGAGUGUAAACGCGUAAGCCAGCCUAACUGCGAGGGUGACGGCCCGAGCAGUAACGAAAGUUGGAGUUAGUGAUC
rnacentral:rRNA from 1 species